GGCAUGUUGCCAGAGUGGUUAAUGGGUGAGACUUGAAUUCGGCUGAGUUUAAGCCAUCUCAUGACUUCGGUCGCGUAGGUUCAAAUCCUGCACAUGUCG